rnacentral:misc_RNA from 1 species
CAGUAGUACAGUAGUGCCUAAGACAUUUCUGCAGUUGCUAAAGCCUCAAAGAUCCAACAUCAUCUUAUUCUUACUGGAGGCUACAAUAUAUACAUGGAGAAUCCCAAACCCCCAGGCCACCAACAAUAGAAAAAAUGAUGGGGCAAUUGAAGUUAAAAUUUAUCAUUUGAUCAACUUUUUUACACUGCCAAAACUUCUGAGAAAUUUUGAGAACUUCUUAAUUUUCAUGGAAUUCUGCUUGGCUUUUUCCUUGGAUUCCUUUGAAUCCUUAUUUGCCUUUUUCUUGGCCUCUUGCAAAGCCUGAAUUAAGUUAUCCAAGCAAGUUUGAGGCCCUCCUGAAGCAUUCUUGAGAAUCAAGUGCUCAGCCACAUCACAAGGACUCAUGUCUACUUCCUCUAAUAAACCUUGAAUCUGUUGAAACAAAGUGUGCGUUUCCAAAUUCAAGUAAUUGUUAGCCAACACUUUGAAUGCUUCAUAUCUGCAAUAAGACAUCUCAAUGUGCAUAUCCAUACGUCCUCGUCGUAUUAGAGCUGGAUCAAGUUUGUCCUUGUGAUUUGUCGUAAAUAUAAUAAUUCUUUCUUGACCACAAGCUGACCAUAUUCCGUCGAUGAAAUUCAACAGCCCAGAAAGUGUGAGUUUGCCUGUUUCCUUGUUUUCCGUACUUUCUUUUUCUUUUUCAGUUGAUGAGUCAGAAUCUUCUUCCUGAUCUUCACUGGUUGUUUCCUUUUUCUUUUUCUUCUUUCUCUUGCCAGUGAGAUCGAUAGAACAAUCGAUAUCUUCAAUGACGAUGAUGGACUUGCUCGUUGUUUCCAUAAGCAAUUUCUUAAGCCCUGAGUUAUCCUUAACAGAGGUUAGCUCAAGAUCAUAAAUAUCAUAGUUCAAGUAAUUCGCAAUUGCUGCAAUCAUAGUUGAUUUUCCAGUUCCUGGUGGACCAUAAAGAAGAUAACCGCGCUUCCACGCCUUUCCAACUUUGGAAUAAUAAUCCUUCCCCUUGCUAAAAGCAAUGAGAUCGUUGAUUAUUUCCGCUUUCUUCUUAGGAUCCAUAGCCAGAGUAUCAAAUGUUGCAGGGUGCUCAAAAUUGAUGUCUCUCCACAUACCUUUACCACACCAAUACCAAUCAUCACUACAAUUGUUUGAGUAAAUCUUCUGUUUCCUGUUCAGGAACUGAAUUGCCUUGCCUUCUUCCAUGAUAUGGUUCAAGUAUUUUCCGGUAACAAUUUCUCUGUCUCCUUGAUUGAAAGUUAAUCUGUAACUUUUCUUUUCCAUUGGAACGGAAUUAGACCGGGUAGACCGAUGACCUGAAAAAUCAUCGGACAAUUUUACAGAGUAAUUGCGCCAACUGAAUUUAGCACCUUGAAAUUCAUCAGUAAUUUCUUCUCCUUCAUCCAAGCUAACAGCAAAAGACUUGCUGUUCUUAGACUUUUCAACUUUGAGUAACUUAGCAUCCUUUUUGAUGGACUUAGUACCCAAAUAAGAGUUGAUAUGACCGUACAUUUCGUUUUUUUUACCAUUUGAGAAAUCAUCAAUGGUAAUUUGUACGUAAGGGUAGAAAUAAUUCUCCACUCUGCGCCAUAAGUAAUCGAAGCGCUUGCUGAGUGCAGGGGGAAAGUAUUGCUGAACUAUGCCCCAUAUUAACAUCAGUCCACCUAGCUUAGACCAUAAUUCAGUCAAUGAUGCUGUCAUGGUGAAGAUUAUGAAUGAGGAUGAGAAAUGAAAAAUGG